UACGUAGGGGGCAAGCGUUGUCCGGAAUUAUUGGGCGUAAAGAGCUCGUAGGCGGUGUGUCACGUCGGCCGUGAAAACCUGCAGCUUAACUGUGGGCGUGCGGUCGAUACGGGCAUCACUGGAGUUCGGCAGGGGAGACUGGAAUUCCUGGUGUAGCGGUGGAAUGCGCAGAUAUCAGGAGGAACACCGGUGGCGAAGGCGGGUCUCUGGGCCAUUAACUGA
rnacentral:rRNA from 1 species